rnacentral:rRNA from 1 species
UACGAAGGGUGCAAGCGUUACUCGGAAUUACUGGGCGUAAAGCGUGCGUAGGUGGUUUGUUAAGUCUGAUGUGAAAGCCCUGGGCUCAACUUGGGAAUUGCAAUGGAUACUGGCAGGCUGGAGUAUGGUAGAGGAAGGUGGAAUUCCCGGUGUAGCAGUGAAAUGCGUAGAGAUCGGGAGGAACACCGGUGGCGAAGGCGGCCUUCUGGACCAAUACUGACGCUCAUGCACGAAAGCGUGGGGAGCAAACAGG